rnacentral:rRNA from 1 species
UUGGUGACGGUCAUAGCGGCGGGGAAACACCCGGUCUCAUUCCGAACCCGGCAGUUAAGCCCGCCCGCGUACCGUGUGCGUACUGGGAUGCGCGAGCUCCCGGGAAGCACGGUUCGCUGUCACCA